rnacentral:rRNA from 1 species
AGAGAGAGACAUGCGCGCAUAUCAAUAAGCGGAGGAAAAGAAACUAACAAGGAUUCCCUUAGUAACGGCGAGUGAAGCGGGAAGAGCUCAAAUUUGAAAUCUUCAAGGUUUUACCUUGACGAAUUGUAGUUUAAAGAAGUGUUUUCUGUUGAAGUUUUGGUAAAAGUUCUUUGGAAUAGGACAUCAUAGAGGGUGAGAAUCCCGUAUUUGACCAUUAUUUUCCAGCUUUGUGAUACACUUUCAAAGAGUCGGAUUGUUUGGGAAUGCAGUCCAAAAUGGGUGGUAAAUUUCAUCUAAAGCUAAAUAUUGGCGAGAGACCGAUAGCGAACAAGUACCGUGAGGGAAAGAUGAAAAGAACUUUGAAAAGAGAGUUAAACAGUACGUGAAAUUGUCAAAAGGGAAGCGUUUGACACCAGUGUUGUUUUCUCGAAAAUCAAUUAAAAAUGGCUCGAUUUUGUAUUGUUGAGACCUUAAAAGCUCACUGUACAUUUUUCGUGUCUUUUUUAAUGCACUUUUCGUUUAACAAGUCAACAUCAGUUUCUUUUGUUGUAAAAGGGUCAUUGGAAGGUGGCUUUCUUUUCGGAGAAAGUGUUUAUAGCCUUUGGCCUCUGCAAUCGGAAGAGACUGAGGUCUGCAGCGUAGACUCUUCGGGGUUAGAUACAUUUGUGCUAAGUUAUAGCUUUUUAUAGACAACUUGUUGACUAUAAUUAGUCUUGUAGCUUACUCGCUUAUGCUAUUUUACCUACGCUUAGGAUGUUGAAGUCAUCGUAUCGCGC